rnacentral:misc_RNA from 1 species
AAGACUAUAGACCUGCGGAGUACCUGCGGAAGGAUCAUUACCGAGUCCCCUGCUUGCAGGAACUCCACCCUUGGUUACUGCCGUUGCUUCGGCGAGACGUUGGAAACAGCCAUCGGCAUGCCGAUGCGCGCUCGCCGGAGUCAAACUCCUGAACUAUGUGUGGUCAGAGAAUCAAGCAAUCUUGAAAACUUUUAACAACGGAUCUCU